GGCAGCAGCCCUGCGGCUUAGGCCACAGCCUGGCAUGAAUUCUGCUCCUGCAGGCACUGGCUCUGCUGCUGCUGAUAAAGAAACUCUCUUCUAGCGAGUGGAAUAUAGUAAAGAACAAGGCCAUGUGGUUUCUGAAGGCUGGACCAGAAGAGAAUGGCUCCUGUCUGGAUGGAUCACUCAAUUCUGUGGGCAGCCAGUUGUCAUGUCCUGGGGACCCCCCAAUAGCAGUGACAAGCUGUCAGAUAAACCCAUCCCCUGUGGAUGUUUUCACAGAAACCACACAAGCCAGGCAGCUCCUGAGUCCUAGAUCCACAUAAAUACUGUGAGAGAAUAAAUGUUAAUUACAACAAUUUAA